UUUAAAAACAAUUAAAAGACAAUACUAAAACAUUCUGGUCGCCUGGGACAUAUAGCUACGCUUCAGGAAUUUAUACGCUGAGCACGUUGACAUUAGAAUGGAGAAUCGCCAGCUUACAAAAUUGUGUAAGCGUUCAUGGGCAAGAUUUGGACACAAAUUGACGAUAUGAUGCGGUUCUGACACUACUGGGAACGGAAAAGUUAAUACAUCGUUGUCUAUUAACCCGACUUCGCUUGCAAGAACUGGAUUUUUAAGCAAAGUUUCCAUAUAUAUUUCUACUACAGUAUUGGAUAUGGCAAUUUGGCAUUUAGACAUGGUUUUAUUGGCUGUGUUUUGGUUGAAAGUAUGUUUAUGACCA